AGUGAACGCUGGCGGUAGGCCUAACACAUGCAAGUCGAACGGCAGCACAGGAGAGCUUGCUCUCUGGGUGGCGAGUGGCGGACGGGUGAGGAAUACAUCGGAAUCUACUCUGUCGUGGAGGAUAACGUAGGGAAACUUACGCUAAUACCGCAUACGACCUACGGGUGAAAGCAGGGGACCUUCGGGCCUUGCGCGAUUGAAUGAGCCGAUGUCGGAUUAGCUAGUUGGCGGGGUAAAGGCCCACCAAGGCGACGAUCCGUAGCUGGUCUGAGAGGAUGAUCAGCCACACGGGAACUGAGACACGGUCCAGACUCCUACGGGAGGCAGCAGUGGGGAAUAUUGGACAAUGGGCGCAAGCCUGAUCCAGCCAUACCGCGUGGGUGAAAAAGGCCUUCGGGUUGUAAAGCCCUUUUGUUGGGAAAGAAAUCCAGCUGGCUAAUACCCGGUUGGGAUGACGGUACCCAAAGAAUAAGCACCGGCUAACUUCGUGCCAGCCGCCGCAGUAA
rnacentral:rRNA from 1 species